CUGCCAUGGACGACUGAUUUGGAAGGUUGCUCAAAGUUUUACGCCAGAAGUGUAGCAGAAGCAGAGGAGAAGAAUAUAUUAUUUUGGCUUGAUUGAGAAAUGAUUAUUCGAGCCGUUAUACUACUUUUAGAAGCCUGCUCGUAGUAUUUCAACGAUUACCCCGAGUUCGAGCUCUUUUACACGGCAAACCUAGCUCCUAUAGGGAUUUUCAGGAAAAAAUUCCCUACAUGUGCCACCACAAGAAGUAGUUUAAGGGAAUCGAAUUAUCAACCACACGCCCCACAUGGGUAUAAAACCCGGUGCAUCAACCCAACUAGGCUGGACAUCACUUGCUGCAUUGAUAAUUAGUUACGAGCAGGUAGAUGGGGUGGAUGUUGGAGUUUAAUUGUCAAUCUGUCUAAAAAGUUAUUUUUAGGUUUUUAUGAAUUUUUCCAAUGUAGUAUUUAUUCAAAUGGUCUUGGUCUUUACUCUUUAGACAACUCAAAUCAUUAUUAAAACUCCUCAUUUCGAAAAUAUUGUGAUUAUUUUAGCCUUCUCCAAACUAAUGAGGUAUGGAGAUGGAAUAAGAUUGACUCUAGGAAAUUAAAUGUGCUUGCUUGGUGUAUUAAACAAGGAAGAUACCUUACAAUGUCUAAUCUCCUCAAAACUGACAUUGGAUCUAGCUCUACAUGCAAAUUUUGUAGCGUGGUUGUUGAAGACGAAGAUCAUAAUUUUUGUAGCUUUUUAUGGCAAUUCUUAUGGGAAGAAAUUAGAAAAUGGUGGCAUUGCUUGGGUCCUCUUCCCCCGUCUUCUAGUGAGCUAAUUGAGCUGCAAAACGCAAUUUGGAGGCCCUUCUGCCAGUGUUGAGGUCCACGAAGCUUGCACGAAUUUGGCGAGAAAAGUUUAGAUUUUGGCAUAUCUUUGGAUCAAUGUUAGGAAGAAGAAAGGUAGAGAGUUGAUCGGGAAGGAUUGGAUUGAUGAUCCAGUUUUGGAAAGUUUGAAAAGUUUCGUUUAACUUUUUUCUA